CCGUGGCGGUGGAGGAGGAGGAUGAGGUAGCCAACACUGUUUAUAUAUAUAUAUAUAUAUAUAUAUAUUUAUUUUUUUAAUUUUUUUUAUUGGGUAGCCCCCAAAAUAUUGGGACAUAUAAAAAAAGACAACUCUGUUCCGCAGAGUAGCUGUUGACAUUAUAGUUGCGCAGGCACUUUGUUGACUCUAGAGAACCUCGGGCCAAUCGCACAUCCCCGUGGCGGCGACUUUGCAUGCGGAUGUCAUCCAUAUCAACUUUCGAUGCCAGUUUCUGCGCCUACCAUGGUGACCACGGGUAACGGGGAAUCAGGGUUCCAUUCCAUACAGGGACCCUGAGAAACGGCUACCACAUGCAAGGAAGGCAGCAGG